rnacentral:tRNA from 1 species
UCCCUGAUGGCUCAGAUGGUAAAGCAUCUGCCUACAAUCCAAGAGACCCAGGUUCAAUUCCUGGGUCGGGAA